rnacentral:rRNA from 1 species
AGCUUUUAGUUUGCCACUUGCUGAUCUCGCCUGACUGCAGAAGCUAAGCAGGGUCAGGGUUGGUUAAUACUUGGAUGGAAGACAACCUGGAAAUACCAAGUCCUGGAGGCUA